rnacentral:snRNA from 1 species
AUCACUUUUAGGCCUUUUAGCUAAGAUCAAGUGUAGUAUCUGUUUAGUUUAACAUCUGAUAUGUCCUCUAUCCGAGGACAAUAUAUUAAAUGGAUUUUUGGAACUAGGAGAUAGAAUAGGACCUUGCUCCAUCCACUUCACGCAUAGACCUGGUAUUGCAAUACUUCCAGGAACAGUGCACCCCCU